rnacentral:lncRNA from 1 species
CGGCGAAAGAGAUCGUGGACGUCCAUCUUUACCCAGAAAGCUCCACUGUUCUACGGCGCCUGCGCAGACUACUUCCCAGGCCCCGGGCAGCGUCGGAAGAGGGCGUGAGCAUAAUUGGCUCCUGUAGGCGGAGCCUGGCUGGAUAAAGAAACAGAAACUCGAAGUAACCAGGUCUGUAAACCCCGCACUAUGAGAGGCUGAGGCAGAAGGGAUUGUUUGAAGCCAGGAGAUUGAGACCAGCCUGCACAAUAUAAGGAGACCUUGUCUCUGCAAAAAAUUAAAAAAACAAAAGAAACUCAAAGAGGAGGACAAAGACUCUCUCCAGUGAAGCCUUUCUCUUCUCCUCAGGCCUCUCCUUCCUGACUCAGCCUUGGUUUACCACUGAGAUUUGCCAUAUACCAUACAGAUGAACAAAAACGUUACCAAUUAUUGGCAGGGUUUUUUGUUUGUUUUUUUGUUUUUUUUUUUAACCAAAUGUCAAGUUGGUGAUGAAGUUAUCUGGAAAUGUCAACCAAACCCAGAAGACUACACAAGACUACAGGAGAAGGCACUCUGGGUAACAGAUUCAAGUUUUUGCAUCAGUUUGUUCGAUGAAGGAUCACAACAUAGACAGUACGGCUUUCUUGCUUCCUCUUCAGUGGUUCUUUGUCUCCCACCUCCAGGACAGACAGGAGUCCUUGACAUCGUGGGAGAGGCAUUGUGGCAAUACUGCAUAGAAGGGAAGCUGGGCUUCGGGCUGCGCCUCCUGAGAGUGGAUUGUCUGAGGUGCCAGCAGGACGUCCGUCAGGUAAGCAGGGACCUCUCGCAGGUGCUUGUCAGGUCACUGGGCUUUUCCAUGACAGCUGCCCAGAGGGUGAUGGUGUGGAAAACAGGGUCCUUGUUGCUGCGCACAAAGUAAGUGGUGUGUGGGCAUCACCAGGCUU